GGGUCCGUCUUCCAGCACAGUGUUGGAUGGUCUAAUUGUGAAGCUCCUAACACUGUCUGGUAAAGAUGGCCCC
rnacentral:pre_miRNA from 1 species